rnacentral:rRNA from 1 species
UAAGGAAUAUUGGACAAUGGGGGCAACCCUGAUCCAGCAAUGCCGCGUGAAUGAAGAAGGCCUUCGGGUUGUAAAGUUCUUUCGCUUACGAUGAUAAUGACAGUAGUAAGAUAAGAAGGUCCGGCUAACUCUGUGCCAGCAGCCGCGGUGAGACAGAGGGACCUAGCGUUGUUCGGAAUGACUGGGCGUAAAGGGUGCGUAGGUGGUUACUUAAGUAGGGUGUUAAAUCCUUGGGCUCAACCCAAGAAUCGCAUUCUAUACUGGGUGACUGGAGUAUGGGAGAGGAGAUUGGAAUUCCUAGUGUAGAGGUGAAAUUCGUAGAUAUUAGGAGGAACACCAGAGGCGAAGGCGAAUCUCUGGCCCAUUACUGACACUGAGGCACGAA